rnacentral:lncRNA from 1 species
UAAACUUUGUAACAGCUUUUGUUCCUUCAGAGACAGCAUGUUUAGCCAAUUCACCAGGCAACACAAGCCUCACAGCUGUUUGAAUCUCCCUUGAAGUUAUUGUAGGUUUCUUGUUGUAACGAGCCAAUCUUGAAGAUUCCUGUGCUAGCUUCUCGAAUAUAUCAUUUAUGAAACUAUUCAUUAUUCCCAUUGCCUUAGAGCUUAUACCAAUGUCUGGGUGAACCUGCUUCAACACCUUGAAUAUGUAGAUCUUGUAUGUUUCUACGCUCUUCUUGCUCUUCUUCUUCUUCUUGUCAACGGCGGCGCCACCUUCCUUUGGGAGCUUCUUCCCAGCCUUUGGUUUCUUCUCCGCCGGUGAUGAUUUCUCAGCAACGGUGGAUUUCUUUUCCUCCACGGGCUUCUUCUCCGCUGGCUUCUUCUCUGCCUUUGGUGCCAUUACGAAAUUAGAGAAUUUGAGGUUAAUGAAAUAAUAGGGUUUUGUUUCAGAUUUGGGAUUGGAAUAGCGAAAGAGCUGUGUGAUAGAUACUAGCUUGGAAGCGUUGAUAUAUAAGAGGCGUUUCGCGUUCUUAUUGGUUGAUGAGGUAUCCCUCGGAUCGAUGACGUGGAUCUUAUUUAUCCGUAAAAAUGGAAGGAGCGUAUAAUUGUACAAGAAAAAUAAGAGCAGAUCGCGUAAGAUACACGCAUAAGCAAAUCUCAAUUUCACUCUAAUUCUCUUUUCGGAUAAAUAUAAAAAUAAGUAAUUUAUUUAUUACCAAAAGAGUCACUUAUAUAUGUUUUUAGAGCUUACACUAGCAGGCUAUGUGAAUAUUCAUUGGGUGUCAACCUAUGUUAUUGAAUAUCCUAAAAUAAAAAAAAUAUUAAAAAUAAUUGUAAGUAAUUUAUAAAUUUAUGUGUUUAUUUUUUAUAAUGUUAAAUAUUAUUCAGGUAAUCAAAAAAUAAAAAACAUAAACUAAUUUUUAAACACUAGAAUUGACUAUUAAAACAACUUAUUUUAUUCAAAGAAACAUAAAAAACAAAUUUAUCAUUUCAACAAUAUGAUGGAAAAUUUAUUUGCUACAAAUUGAUCAAUCAACAUAAUAUUCAUAUGAAUUAACAAUAUAUCAUCAAUGUUUAGCAGGGAUGGCAACGAGAUCGGGCAGGCGUGGGUAGUGCAUUCUCGUUCCUACCCCACAAUAUUUGCAGCUACACAUGCGGGUAGCUUGUAUUUGUGUAUACCUAACAAAUUUUAAUUUUAAUUAUAUGUUUAUAUACACCGUAAUAAUUAAUAUCAAAAAAUAAUUAUUACAUAAAUAAUAUGAUAAAUUUAUCAACUUAGUCAAAUAAGUGUAAUUUAUUAUGAAAUAUAAUAAAGUAUAUGAUAUAUAAUCCUAAAAUAAUAAUAAUAAAAAACUAUAAUAUAUAUAUAAAAAAUUAAUUUAUAAAUUUGCGGGUACACACAGACGGUAUCAUAAAAUCUGCUCACACUUAUAAGCUAUUAUCGUGGGUACCCAUGAGUUGAUUUUUUUUUUUGCCAUCCUAAUGUUUAGCAGUGUAAGUUCGCAUUUUAACAAUAUAAGACCACCUUUUUAAUAACAUAACAUCAAUAUUUAUCAAUAUAAUUAUCACAUCAUACAUUAACAUCAUAGUAGGACUGUGUAUUAAUAAUGUAACAUUAGAGCUAUGAGUAAUAUAAUAUUUAUAUAUAUUGGAAGAAAUGGGAGGUUUGGGUACCCGUAGGUAAUGAUAUCUCAUUAACUAGACUCAGACUUGUUCAAUAACGAGUCUUAAAAUCUUGAGUCUCAAUUACUAGCGGGUCCAAAAACACAGACUCGCACCCAAUCACUAUGAGUAUUUCACACAUACUUGUUGGUAUGGGUACUCAUACUCAUUUUCAUCCAUAAUCAAAUAUCGUGAAUGUAAAUCAAAAUAGCCACUCAUAGUUGUCAUAAAAAUUUGGCCACAACAUUUCUCAAUAGUUAUGAUUAGUCAGAAAAAUACUAUAUUAUUAAUUUUUUAACUUAAAUAAAUUUUUUCAACGAAUCACGGACUUAUUAUGAUACAGCAGAUGUGGUCCCCAAAUAUCGUCAAUAUAAUGAAUGUUGACAAUGACCAAUUCUACUCAUAUUUGAUAUUUUUAUAAUCUUUUUGAGUUUUUCAAUUUAGAAUGAUGAAAUUAGUACAUGUAAAAAAUUUAAAAGGCUAACUAAAGUAUCUACUCAAUAAAAAAUUAAAAAAUCACCACAUCUUUGCACUCAUUUUUGAUAAUUUUUUAGAUAAUUUUAAAUUUUUCAAUUUUGUAUGAACAAAACUGAUAUAUACAAAAAAAAAAUUGAAAGAUAAAAAUGAGCAUUUAUUCUUUCCUAUCCCAACCAGUCACCAUAGCCACAUAUGGAGAUAUCUGUCCCAAACUGAAUUUCAAGCCAAUCAGAAUGCUCUAUUUUAUUAAUUUUUACUUUUAAUAUUUUAUUUUAUUCACGUGUUAAUAUAUGAUUGGUUUGAGAUACGAAACUUAGCCAUUAUCUCCUAAAAAUGCAUAAAACUCCUCUCGAGCUUCCAUUGAUAAUCAUUCAUUAUAUUCAAACCACAAAUAAAACAAACAAAUUAUUGGUCCAUCAAUCAUUUUGGUUGGUCAAAAAACAAUCACAAAUAACCACACAAAAAACAAAUCAACAUAAAAACAACAUACUACUUUCUAAAUCAUUUUGUGACUAACAGAAGUGAAAAUUCAAAGGAUUAACUUCGCGGUUAAGAUCAUAGAUUACGAAAUACGCCUUAUGAGUGCUUUGAACAAAUGAAAGUUCGUCAAAUAACUGGGCAAUUCUUCAAAAGUUUACACCUGAAUCAUGACUUAUUCAAAAGCAUUAAUAAUUAAAAAGUUAUGGACCGAACAAUUUCACUUUUAACAGGGAGAAAAACAAUGCCGAUCGGAAAAGUUAACUAAUAAGUAAAAUUAUUAUAAAGAAGUGACAACACUAAACUAAAAUGUUAAAAAGAAAAGUUUAAAAUAUCUUCAGUUCAUUUAAUUUGGCUAUUCUCUUUACCGCAUAGGAUCCAAUUUCACAAGUUCUAUACCAAACAAGUAAUUGAAAUCUGAACAAAGAACUAAUCUAAGAGCUUGUAAAUUUGGUGACAGCCUUAGUGCCUUCAGAGACAGCAUGUUUGGCCAAUUCACCAGGCAAUACGAGUCUAACAGCAGUUUGAAUCUCCCUUGAAGUUAUUGUAGGUUUCUUGUUGUAACGAGCCAAUCUAGAAGAUUCCUGAGCAAGCUUCUCGAAUAUAUCAUUUAUGAAACUAUUCAUUAUUCCCAUUGCCUUAGAGCUUAUACCAAUGUCUGGGUGAACCUGCUUCAACACCUUGAAUAUGUAGAUCUUGUAUGUCUCCACGCUCUUCUUGCUUUUCUUUUUCUUCUUGUCAACGGCGGCGCCACCUUCCUUUGGUAGCUUCUUCCCGGCCUUUGGUUUCUUCUCCGCCGGUGGAGCCUUCUCAGCAACGGUGGAUUUGUUCUCCUCUGUGGACUUCUUCUCCGCUGGUUUCUUCUCUGCCUUGGGUGCCAUUACGAUAUUUUAGAGAAAUGAAAUGUUAGGGUUUCUGUCAGAUUGGGAUUAGAAUAGCGAAAGAAUGGUGUGUAAGAUAAUUGUUUCGAGGGAUUUAUAUAUAAAAGGGGUCUCGAAAUCUAUUGGUUGAUUGUGUUUCGCGCGGAUCGAUGACGUGGAUACUCUUUUUCCGUUAGAUAAUAUGCAUCGAAGAAAAUAGAGCGUGCUUCAGAAGCGUUCACGGUGUUUUGAAAUUAGCGGAUAUACGAAGAAGAAAAAAAGCUGAUUGCGCUCUAUUUUACGCAACUGUUUUCGAGGUUCAAUUAUUAUGCACGCGCCAUUAAUCUACAUAUUUCACCAAUUUGGUCUUUCAAAGUGUAUCAAAUAUGUUUAAAAACUCACAAUACUGAUCAGACUAAUUUAGUGGUAGCCUAUAUUUUUAAGGCAUUUAAAUUUACUUUACAUAGUAACAAUUUCAUCCGUAACAAGAAAAAGGUGUACAUUUUAAAAGUACUAAUUUCAUGAAAUUUUUGUAUUAGCAAUAUUGACAUUUAACUCUGUUAAUGAUUCCACCUCUUAGAUUUAAGAGUUUGGAUUAAAUAGCAAAAGUCUUUUUUUGCUUUUAUUUUGAAGCUAAAGAACUUUGUACUAUAAGACUAAAAUUAUUAUAAGAGAUGCCCCUAGAUAUUAUGACGAAGGAAGUUUUUCAAGGCACAAAAAAAACUUCAUAUCCAUUAUUUUACACAAAUACAUGAGUGGUGUAUUAUUCCAUUUUGAUUCCCAAACUGGUCUCCAGUCAACUCAUAAGGUCUCUAUUAAAUAUGGGGCAAAUAAAAUUUUGACUCAUGCAAUUGUCGAUCACAUUGCGACAACCGACCUAACUAAAGAAAGGAUGACAAUAAUAAAUAUGGCCUACUUACCCAUUGUAGAAUGACAUACAUAUGUUAUAGAAUUAUCACAUCGUCUGAAUAAGAUGGACCUCUGAUACAAGACUAUCAUGUCGCAUAAAUAACGUAAAUGUUGUUGUAGAGCUCGACACAUUGUCCAAACAUUAGCCUACCAUAUUGUAGUGGCAAGGAAAAACAUAACAUACAACUAUGAUAGUUUAGAUAGGCGACGAAACGACUCACCCUAGAUAAAAAUAUUGUACCAACUAUAGUAUGAGCAAGUCAAGGCCGCUUGACGAGAAUAAAGCAGCACACGCCUGUUUAAGACACAUCCGAUAGGAUAACUUCUCAUGAUUACAACAUCUAAGAUAGAAUAUAUCAUACUCAAUUCCUCUAUAAGUCACACUUAAUACUCUCACUUAUUUUGUUGCAUCCUUAUAUUCUCUCCACAUAUAUUCACUUGAAUGUUAGAGUAUCUUAUAGAUACACUCUAAGGUGAUCUCAAAUUCAAUAAUCAUAUUAGCCUUCCAACCCAACCUCCACAGGACCAACCAACAUGUAUAAAAAGCAAGUUUGCAUUAGGUUAUUACCAAAGUUAUACAAUAAAUUUACUUGACAAGUGAUACUAGGUAGGGAUGACAAAAUGGGCUUGACCCGACGGACCAGUCCGUUCGGAUAGGUGUUUUUAGAAGGUCGGACUGAGAGUUUUAACCCAAAAGCCCGUAUUGAACCUGUUUUGGAAUGCUGUUUUUUAGACGGGCCAACAUUAAGAUUAAAGUUCAUUUGUCUAUCAUGUUGCUCAUUGCAAUUAAGAUUAAACUUUUACAAUUUUAACUUACGUUUAGAUGCUUAAGCAUAUAAUUUUUAUUUCUUUUUGUAAAGUGAACAUUUAAUAUCUCAUUAUAUAGUUAUCUAUUAUCUUCACUCUUAUCCAAUUAUUGUACUUGUUAUCAGAUAAAAGUGAAGUUUCGCUCAAAAUUAGGGGUGUUUGAAUCAAAUUUAAACAUUUAAUUAAUUGAAAUGAAAAAUUGGAAACUCAAACAGAACUACUGAUUUUGAUUCCUUUUGGAAAAUUAAUUGAAUUCGACUAGGUUUCAAUUUAUAUUUUUAAUGUAGUCCAAUUCAAAUUAAAAUGAGUAAUAUAUAUACUUUAUUGUGGUUGAUUUAUAAUAUAGUAGUUUUGAUUCCUAUACACUUUUUAAAACUUAGGGGUUAUAAACUCUAUUGUGAACUAGAAGUCUAAAAGUUUAAGACUAUGGUAGUUUAUUGUUUAGAAUUUACAAGUUUUGUACUAAUGCAAUAUGUUAUUAUGAGAUUGUGUUUUUUGUUUGUAAUGUUUUGUUUUAAAAGAUAUUUAUGAAUUGUUUGAAUUAUUUAUUUUUGUCUAAAAGCUCUAAUGUGUGUUUUGAAAAAAAACAAAACGGGCCACCCCCGGCCUGCCAGCCAUACCAAAUAUGGGUCGGACUGACAUUUUGAGCCAUUUUAACAAGAAGGGUCGGGCCGGGCCAGCCCAUAUUCUGACGGGCCAAAGGCGUGCCGGACUAGGCUGACCCGUAUUGCCACUAGGUAAAUGUUGUUUUCAUGACUGUAUUCACAUUAAUUUAAUGAUAUGUUUGAUACAUAAUUAUUUCAAAUAAAAUUAUUUCAUCAACUUUAUUCUUUAAACAAAUAUAACUAACAUGAUAUUCAUAUGGCUUUAUUCACAAUGAUACUGUGACUAAUAAAAGAUAAAAUAUUGAGAAUUUCAAAUUAUCUUAAAUUGGUUACAAUGAAAAAAACGUUAAGAAUUUGUGUACAGAACAAUUUCUCUCAGUGAACAUAAAAGUAAAGUAUCAAAAUUAUACCAAAUAAAAUCAAAAUUAUCUAGAAUAAUUAUUGCAAUGUUUAAAUCUAGUUAAUCCACGUUGAAACUUGCUCACCAGAGAUCUUUCUAGUUGUGAAGAACAAAACAAAACGCAUGUGAUGAAAAAAAUUAAUUUUAAAGCUUUAAAUUGGUCAAAAGUUACAAUAGUCCCCACCUUAAAUAUAAAAUAAUUAAUCCAUGUAUUUGAUAACAAGAAUGAAUAAUAAGUAAAUAUAUUAACAGUAUAUAUAUAUAAAUAAAUAAGUGUUUAUAUUAUUACAUGUAACAGUGGGAUAUUUCAUUUUUUUUACAUUCUUUUCUCAAAAACACAACUCUUAAAACGGAACAUACAUAACUAGCUCAGGAAAGCAACAUAUUCCUUUCGGUCAAUUCAUGCGAUGAAUUAUUUUCCAAAACAUCACCGAAAAUACGAUUUAGUGAGUCAAAUAUGUUUGGAUCAAAAUUUACCAUGAAAAGUCCCGAAUCAACGGCAAACACUAAAAGUAAAAAUGUACUGUAAUUAACAUACAUCUCUGGCCAAUUGUGCCAAUCACAAUGAACUUAAAUUUAUAAAAUUAUGAAUAUUGAACAAAAAAAAUUAACUAACUGUGACAUAAUAGAAUAGAAUGAUCUUGUCCCUAACAUACCUAUUUGACUAGGAAAAAACAUAACCAGAUUUUUAAAUAAAUGUAAUGGAUUAAAUAUGGCAAGAGGAAAAUUAACAAAAACACCCAGAUUCCAACAUUAUAUAAAAACAAAUUGCCAUCUACCAGUUAAACUUUGCUCUACACAAACAAAAGAGAUAAUAACAAGGUAACGCAGUACUCACUGAUAAUACUGAACUCCAAUAGAUCUCGGGAAUAUAUUCAGUUCCUUCAAAGAGGCUUUUCUCAUUACAUCAUAGAAUCAAUUAUCACCAGCACUACCAUUUCAAUACACAUAAGGAUUAUAGCAACACUCAAUUUCACAAAUAUUUUUCCCCAAACUAAAACUUACAGCUGAAAUCUAAACAAUGGAUUUUAGAUCUAAGAGCUUGUAAACUUUGUAACAGCUUUUGUUCCUUCAGAGACAGCAUGUUUAGCCAAUUCACCAGGCAACACAAGCCUCACAGCUGUUUGAAUCUCCCUUGAAGUUAUUGUAGGUUUCUUGUUGUAACGAGCCAAUCUUGAAGAUUCCUGUGCUAGCUUCUCGAAUAUAUCAUUUAUGAAACUAUUCAUUAUUCCCAUUGCCUUAGAGCUUAUA